GACAGAGGGUGCAAACGUUGUUCGGAAUUACUGGGCGUAAAGCGCGUGUAGGCUGCUCAGAAAGUCGGAUGUGAAAGCCCUGGGCUUAACCUAGGAAGUGCAUUCGAAACUUCUGAGCUUGAGUUCUGGAGAGGAAGGCGGAAUUCUCGGUGUAGAGGUGAAAUUCGUAGAUAUCGAGAGGAACACCGGUGGCGAAGGCGGCCUUCUGGACAGUGACUGACGCUGAGACACGAAAGCGUGGGGAGCAAACAGG
rnacentral:rRNA from 1 species